rnacentral:rRNA from 1 species
AUUGAACGCUGGCGGCAGGCUUAACACAUGCAAGUCGAACGAGUGGCGGACGGGUGAGUAAUGCUUGGGAAUCUAGCUUAUGGAGGGGGAUAACUACGGGAAACUGUAGCUAAUACCGCGUACCAUCGGAUGUGCCCAGGUGGGAUUAGGUAGUUGGUGGGGUAAAGGCUCACCAAGCCGACGAUCCCUAGCUGGUCUGAGAGGAUGACCAGCCACACUGGAACUGAGACACGGCCCAGACUCCUACGGGAGGCAGCAGUGGGGAAUAUUGCGCAAUGGGCGCAAGCCUGAUGCAGCCAUGCCGCGUGUAUGAAGAAGGCCUUCGGGUUGUAAAGUACUUUCAGUGGGGAGGCGUUACCUACAGAAGAAGCACCGGCUAACUCCGUGCCAGCAGCCGCGGUAAUAC